GACGAACGCUGGCGGCGUGCUUAACACAUGCAAGUCGAACGGUAAGGCCCUUCGGGGUACACGAGUGGCGAACGGGUGAGUAACACGUGGGUGAUCUGCCCUGCACUUCGGGAUAAGCCUGGGAAACUGGGUCUAAUACCGGAUAGGACCACUGCCUGCAUGGGUGGUGGUGGAAAGCUUUUGCGGUGUGGGAUGGGCCCGCGGCCUAUCAGCUUGUUGGUGGGGUGAUGGCCUACCAAGGCGACGACGGGUAGCCGGCCUGAGAGGGUGACCGGCCACACUGGGACUGAGUUACGGCCCAGACUCCUACGGGAGGCAGCAGUGGGGAAUAUUGCACAAUGGGCGCAAGCCUGAUGCAGCAACGCCGCGUGAGGGAUGACGGCCUUCGGGUUGUAAACCUCUUUUAGUAGGGAAGAAGCGAAAGUGACGGUACCUGCGGAAAAAGCACCGGCUAACUACGUGCCAGCCGCCGCCGUAA
rnacentral:rRNA from 1 species